rnacentral:rRNA from 1 species
AUCAGCAGCCAUAUCACUCUGCAGCCAACUCACAACUGGCAGCCCACUGAAGCUAAGCAGGUGUGAGCCUGGUCAGUACCUGGGUGGGAGACCUCCUGGGAAAAAACUAAGGUUGCUGCUGGAA